GACGAACGCUGGCGGCGUGCUUAACACAUGCAAGUCGAACGGAAAGGCCCUGCUUGCAGGGUACUCGAGUGGCGAACGGGUGAGUAACACGUGGGUGAUCUGCCCUGCACUUCGGGAUAAGCCUGGGAAACUGGGUCUAAUACCGGAUAGGAGCCAUUUUUAGUGUGAUGGUUGGAAAGUUUUUUCGGUGUAGGAUGAGCUCGCGGCCUAUCAGCUUGUUGGUGGGGUAAUGGCCUACCAAGGCGGCGACGGGUAGCCGGCCUGAGAGGGUGGACGGCCACAUUGGGACUGAGGUACGGCCCAGGCUCCUACGGGAGGCAGCAGGGGGGAAUAUUGCACAAUGGGCGCAAGCCUGAUGCAGCGACGCCGCGUGGGGGAUGACGGCCUUCGGGUUGUAAACUCCUUUCGCUAGGGACGAAGCUUUUUGUGACGGUACCUAGAUAAGAAGCACCGGCUAACUACGUG
rnacentral:rRNA from 1 species